rnacentral:lncRNA from 1 species
ACUUUGCCCAUUUGAAUUCACGAGAAGGAUGUUCUCAAGAAUUUUUCCUCAUCCAAAGCCCUCCUCACGUCCUACUUUAAUGUACCUAAUGAGUGGAUAAGGAUGAUUGGUUGGCCAUUCAAAUUCAAAAACAAAGUUUGAAUUUGAUUGAGCAUCCAAUCUUAGCGCCUUGACCUUAUCCUCUUUUAGCGCCCAAUUUAUUACACGAGAAAAUGUUUCUCAUGAAAUCAUUCAUGCACAAAUUAAGCAACGCUCUCC